AGAGAUGCACUGGGCUUAAAGCGUGCGCAGGCGGUUUUGUAAGACAGAGGUGAAAUCCCCGGGCUCAACCUGGGAACUGCCUUUGUGACUGCAAGGCUGGAGUGCGGCAGAGGGGGAUGGAAUUCCGCGUGUAGCAGUGAAAUGCGUAGAUAUGCGGAGGAACACCGAUGGCGAAGGCAAUCCCCUGGGCCUGCACUGACGCUCAUGCACGAAAGCGUGGGGGAGCAAACA
rnacentral:rRNA from 1 species